rnacentral:rRNA from 1 species
UACAGAGGGGGCAAGCGUUAUUCGGAAUUAUUGGGCGUAAAGGGCGCGUAGGCGGCUUUUCAAGUGACGGGUGAAAUCCCUCGGCUUAACCGAGGAACUGCCUGUCAGACUGGAAGGCUUGAGACCGGGAGAGGUGAGUGGAAUUCCCACGUGUAGCGGUGAAAUGCGUAGAUAUUGGGAGGAACACCAGUGGCGAAGGCGGCUCGCUGGACCGGUUCUGACGCUGAUGCGCGAAAGCGUGGGGAGCAAACGGG